rnacentral:rRNA from 1 species
GAACCGUCCAAACGUUUAUUCGGAAUCACUGGGCUUGAAGGGUGCGUAGGCGGUGUCGUAAGUUGGGUGUGAAAUCCCUCGGCUCAACCGAGGAACUGCGCCCAAUACUGCGGUACUAGAGGGAGAUAGGGGUAAGCGGAACUGAUGGUGGAGCGGUGAAAUGCGUUGAUAUCAUCAGGAACACCGGUGGCGAAAGCGGCUUACUGGAUCUCUUCUGACGCUGAGGCACGAAAGCUAGGGGAGCGAACGGGGAUUAGAUACCCCGGUAGUCCUAGCUGUAAACGAUGAGCACUUGGUCGAAGACUCCCUCCAUAGGUUUUCGGCCCGUAGCGAAAGUGUUAAGUGCUCCGCCUGGGGGAGUAUGGUCGCAAGGCUG